rnacentral:rRNA from 1 species
CGAAGGAUCCAAGCGUUGUCCGGAUUUACUGGGUUUAAAGGGUGCGUAGGUGGGCUAUUAAGUCAGUGGUGAAAGCCUGCAGCUUAACUGUAGAAUUGCCAUUGAAACUGAUAGCCUCGAAUAUGGUUGAGGUGGUUGGAAUGUUGCAUGUAGCGGUGAAAUGCUUAGAUAUGCAACAGAACACCGAUUGCGAAGGCAGAUCACUAAACCAUUAUUGACACUGAGGCACGAAAGCGUGGGGAUCAAACAGGAUUAGAUACCCUGGUAGUCCACGCCCUAAACGUUGCAUACUCGGACUUAGCGAUAAACAGUUAGGUCCCAAGCGAAAGCGUUAAGUAUGCCACCUGGGAAGUACGUCCGCAAGGAUG